UGAGGAAUAUUGGUCAAUGGACGAGAGUCUGAACCAGCCAAGUAGCGUGCAGGAAGACGGCCCUAUGGGUUGUAAACUGCUUUUAUACGAGAAUAAUUUGAUGCACGUGUGCGUUAUUGCAUGUAUCGUAUGAAUAAGGACCGGCUAAUUCCGUGCCAGCAGCCGCGGUAAUACGGAAGGUCCAGGUGUUAUCCGGAUUUAUUGGGUUUAAAGGGAGUGUAGGCGGUUUGUUAAGCGUGUUGUGAAAUUUAGGUGCUCAACAUUUAACUUGCAGCGCGAACUGUCAGACUUGAGUACACGCAACGUAUGCGGAAUUCAUGGUGUAGCGGUGAAAUGCUUAGAUAUCAUGAAGAACUCCGAUUGCGAAGGCGGCAUACGGGAGUGUAACUGACGCUUAAGCUCGAAGGUGCGGGUAUCGAACAGGAUUAGAUACCCUGGUAGUCCGCACAGUAAACGAUGGAUGCCCGCUGUUAGCGCCUGGCGUUAGCGGCUAAGCGAAAGCAUUAAGCAUCCCACCUGGGGAGUACGCCGGCAACGGUG
rnacentral:rRNA from 1 species